GAAACGACUGCUAAGACUGGAUAGGAGACAAGAAGGCAUCUUCUUGUUUUUAAAAGACCUAGCAAUAGGUAUGCUUAGGGAGGAGCUUGCGUCACAUUAGUUAGUUGGUGGGGUAAAGGCCUACCAAGACUAUGAUGUGUAGCCGGGCUGAGAGGUUGAACGGCCACAUUGGGACUGAGACACGGCCCAAACUCCCACGGGAGGCAGCAGUAGGGAAUUUUCGGCAAUGGAGGAAACUCUGACCGAGCAACGCCGCGUGAACGAUGAAGUAUUUCGGUACGUAAAGUUCUUUUAUUAGGGAAGAAUAAAUGAUGGAAAAAUCAUUCUGACGGUACCUAAUGAAUAAGCCCCGGCUAACUAUGUGCCAGCAGCCGCGGUAAUACAUAGGGGGCAAGCGUUAUCCGGAAUUAUUGGGCGUAAAGGGUGCGUAGGCGGUUAAAUAAGUUUAUGGUCUAAGUGCAAUGCUCAACAUUGUGAUGCUAUAAAAACUGUUUAGCUAGAGUAAGAUAGAGGCAAGUGGAAUUCCAUGUGUAGUGGUAAAAUGCGUAAAUAUAUGGAGGAACACCAGUAGCGAAGGCGGCUUGCUGGGUCUUUACUGACGCUGAGGCACGAAAGCGUGGGGAGCAAACAGGAUUAGAUACCCUGGUAGUCCACGCCGUAAACGAUGAGUACUAAACGUUGGGUAAAACCAGUGUUGAAGUUAACACAUUAAGUACUCCGCCUGAGUAGUACGUACGCAAGUAUGAAACUUAAAGGAAUUGACGGGACUCCGCACAAGCGGUGGAUCAUGUUGUUUAAUUCGAAGGUACCCGAAAAACCUCACCAGGUCUUGACAUGCUUCUGCAAAGCUGUAGAAACACAGUGGAGGUUAUCAGUUGCACAGGUGGUGCAUGGUUGUCGUCAGCUCGUGUCGUGAGAUGUUGGGUUAAGUCCCGCAACGAGCGCAACCCUUAUUGUUAGUUACCAGCACGUAAUGGUGGGGACUUUAGCAAGACUGCCAGUGAUAAAUUGGAGGAAGGUGGGGACGACGUCAAAUCAUCAUGCCCCUUAUGACCUGGGCUACAAACGUGAUACAAUGGCUGUUGCAAAGGGUAGCUGAAGCGCAAGUUUUUGGCGAAUCUCAAAAAAACAGUCUCAGUUCGGAUUGAAGUCUGCAACUCGACUUCAUGAAGUUGGAAUCGCUAGUAAUCGCGAAUCAGCAUGUCGCGGUGAAUACGUUCUCGGGGUUUGUACACACCGCCCGUCA
rnacentral:rRNA from 1 species